UGAUGCUAUAAUAAAAGAGGAAUAUGUAACUAAAAUUAAUUAACUACAUCAAUGUAGUCACUGCUCCUCAAAUGUACAGCUAGAAAAUAAAUUGUGUAUUAUCCUAUAUACAAAAUUUUGAACUAUAGAGGCCAAUGUGAACUACUCGCCGUGAAAAGAGAAAAUGGAAAACUAUGGAGCAAACGAAGCAAGUGCAAAAUAUUCAAGGAUUCAUUUGUCGAACUCCCAAAUGACUCCUCCAUCCUCUGCAACUACAAGACCAAAUAACUAUAAGUAACUACACAUCUCUUUUAAGGAUAACAAAUCCAGUUGGUAUUUAAUUCUACCCACCUGAAUAAAUGAAGAAGAACAACUUAAUUGAAAAUAUUCAAGACGUCUGGUCCAUUAAAGAGAAAGAUAUAAAGUAGCCUUAUAUUACUGCUUACUGAGAAAAUCACUAUCAAAAUUUCAACACCUCAACUGCUGCUUACAAGGGCAAUAAAAUCACUAUCAAAAUUUCAAGAAAAAAUAAAGAAGUUGAAGAAUGAAGAAGGCGAGAAGUUGUAAACCUGUUGAAGAAUGAAGAUUGAACAAUGACUGUCAGUCGCCGAUGAGAGAACUGAGAAGUCGUCAUCGCCGAGGUCUCUGUCGCACAAUCGGCAGUCGAAGGCUCGAACUCGAACUCACAGGUCACAGCGGGUCAGCAACAGAGCUUUUGAGAAUUGAGAGAAAGGUGAGAAAUUGAAAAUUCCUAUCCAGCCCUAGGUAUGCUAAUUCCUA
rnacentral:lncRNA from 1 species